AAGAGAGGAGCUUGCUCUUCUUGGAUGAGUUGCGAACGGGUGAGUAACGCGUAGGUAACCUGCCUUGUAGCGGGGGAUAACUAUUGGAAACGAUAGCUAAUACCGCAUAACAAUGGAUGACACAUGUCAUUUAUUUGAAAGGGGCAAUUGCUCCACUACAAGAUGGACCUGCGUUGUAUUAGCUAGUAGGUGAGGUAAUGGCUCACCUAGGCGACGAUACAUAGCCGACCUGAGAGGGUGAUCGGCCACACUGGGACUGAGACACGGCCCAGACUCCUACGGGAGGCAGCAGUAGGGAAUCUUCGGCAAUGGGGGCAACCCUGACCGAGCAACGCCGCGUGAGUGAAGAAGGUUUUCGGAUCGUAAAGCUCUGUUGUAAGUCAAGAACGGGUGUGAGAGUGGAAAGUUCACACUGUGACGGUAGCUUACCAGAAAGGGACGGCUAACUACGUGCCAGCAGCCGCGGUAAUACGUAGGUCCCGAGCGUUGUCCGGAUUUAUUGGGCGUAAAGCGAGCGCAGGCGGUUUGAUAAGUCUGAAGUUAAAGGCUGUGGCUCAACCAUAGUUCGCUUUGGAAACUGUCAAACUUGAGUGCAGAAGGGGAGAGUGGAAUUCCAUGUGUAGCGGUGAAAUGCGUAGAUAUAUGGAGGAACACCGGUGGCGAAAGCGGCUCUCUGGUCUGUAACUGACGCUGAGGCUCGAAAGCGUGGGGAGCGAACAGGAUUAGAUACCCUGGUAGUCCACGCCGUAAACGAUGAGUGCUAGGUGUUGGAUCCUUUCCGGGAUUCAGUGCCGCAGCUAACGCAUUAAGCACUCCGCCUGGGGAGUACGACCGCAAGGUUGAAACUCAAAGGAAUUGACGGGGGCCCGCACAAGCGGUGGAGCAUGUGGUUUAAUUCGAAGCAACGCGAAGAACCUUACCAGGUCUUGACAUCCCGAUGCUAUUUCUAGAGAUAGAAAGUUACUUCGGUACAUCGGUGACAGGUGGUGCAUGGUUGUCGUCAGCUCGUGUCGUGAGAUGUUGGGUUAAGUCCCGCAACGAGCGCAACCCCUAUUGUUAGUUGCCAUCAUUCAGUUGGGCACUCUAGCGAGACUGCCGGUAAUAAACCGGAGGAAGGUGGGGAUGACGUCAAAUCAUCAUGCCCCUUAUGACCUGGGCUACACACGUGCUACAAUGGUUGGUACAACGAGUUGCGAGUCGGUGACGGCGAGCUAAUCUCUUAAAGCCAAUCUCAGUUCGGAUUGUAGGCUGCAACUCGCCUACAUGAAGUCGGAAUCGCUAGUAAUCGCGGAUCAGCACGCCGCGGUGAAUACGUUCCCGGGCCUUGUACACACCGCCCGUCACACCACGAGAGUUUGUAACACCCGAAGUCGGUGAGGUAACCUUUG
rnacentral:rRNA from 1 species